rnacentral:rRNA from 1 species
GAUGAACGCUAGCGGCAGGCCUAAUACAUGCAAGUCGAACGGUGUCUUCGGACAUAGUGGCGCACGGGUGCGUAACACGUAUGCAACCUACCUUACAUUGGGGGAUAGCCUUUCGAAAGGGAGAUUAAUACCGCAUAAGACAGUAGCUGGGCAUCCAGCAGCUGUUAAAGAUUUAUCGAUGUAAGGUGGGCAUGCGUCCAAUUAGCUAGUUGGUGAGGUAACGGCUCACCAAGGCAAUGAUUGGUAGGGGAACUGAGAGGUCAAUCCCCCACACUGGCACUGAGAUACGGGCCAGACUCCUACGGGAGGCAGCAGGAGGGAAUAUUGGGCAAUGGACGCAAGUCUGACCCAGCCAUGCCGCGGGCAGGAUGAAGGCGUUAUGCGUUGUAAACUGCUUUUAUACAGGAAGAAACGACUCUUGCGAGAGGCAUUGACGGUACUGUAUGAAUAAGCACCGGCUAACUCCGUGCCAGCCGCCGCCGUAAAAC